rfam:Tstilago hordei, Th4857-4, WGS project CAGI01000000 data, contig: THOR_scaffold_4.01220
GGGACGGUAGCUCAGUGGCAGAGCGUCUCAUUUGCAACAACAUCCCUCUGGAUGCCACACAAGUGUUGAGAAGGUCUAGGGUUCAAUCCCCUACCGCUCCA